UGCAGGGCUCAUAGUGCAUAUGAUAGCUGUCCUCGCAUUUCCUCCCAAAGAGUUCUGAAGGAUCCGAGUAAGCUUUGAGUCUCGAAACGAUAAAGUCUGAGAAGCACGUUCACUUCCAGCCAGAUCAACGAAGCACUUGAGAGGCAAAAAAUCAAAAACAUUUGUCAUCAGAAAAAGAAAAAGGUUAAAAAGCUCAAUCAAUCUAAAACAGUAAUUAAUGAUUGUAAUUGUACAAUACCACAGACGCUGCAAGAGUGCUGGAGUUGUCAGGAGAAUAUUCUCGACCAGUGCUUUCGAUCGUCUGCAAGAAAUGCAUCGUUUAGCAUAGCGAGAAUGAAAAGUUGGAAUCAAACAAAAAGGGAUGGAUUGAUUUGACAGUACCAGCCGGAGUAUUUGAUGUGAUCUUGAACUAGUUUCAUUCAAAGAGGUUUCUCCAAUCUUCCUCUGAGCUGCAACAACACUGAUACAUUAGUUAACGUUCAACUUAUCUGAAAUAUUUGUAAGCCUGGCGUGUUACUCACUCUCACAGACUGUAAGAAGUUCCUCUAAAUGUGUUCUGUCCUGGAUGGUCUCCUCAAUAAGUUUCUCAACGACGGUUCCUCUCUGGUAAAGCAAGCGGAUGGAAAUGAGUGGGUCUAACAAUAUAUGAUAGAGUGUAUAUCAUAACAUCGAAAAACAAGUAAUGUGUACCUCUGGAUCAUCGAGAAGCCUCAGUGGGUUGUUAUCCCCACUUAAGAGAUCCCUCACAGCUUCAUUGUAGAUCUCAAUUGCAGAGAAUUUGAGAGUGAAUUCGCGUUCUGAAUGCUGAAGAAAAUGAAAAAGAAGAGUGGUUUAUUUGGCAAUAAGAGACAGAGAGAGAGAGAGAGAGAGUUUAAAGAGAUAUCAAUGCCGUAGGGUUCUUGUUCAAACCUUUUGAAUGUAACAAAAAAUGUCAUCCAUUGCAAAUUCAGUGAUGCCACUCAUUGUGUAUGUCUUCCCACUA